rnacentral:rRNA from 1 species
GAUGAACGCUGGCGGCGUGCCUAAUACAUGCAAGUCGAACGAACAGACGCGGAGCUUGCUCCUCUGACGUUAGCCGCGGACGGGUGAGUAACACGUGGAUAACCUACUUGUAUGACUGAUAUAACUUCGGGAAACCGGAUCUAAUACCGUAUAAUAUAUUGAACCGCGGUGUUCAAUAGUAAAAGACGGCUUUGCUGUCACUUAUAGCGGGAUCCGGGCCGUAUUGGCUAGUUGUUAAGGUAACGGCUUAUCAAGGCAACGAUGCGUAGACGAAGUGAGGGGGGGGUCGGCCACACUGGAACUGAGACAGCGUCCAGGCGCCUGAGGGAGGGAGCAGAAGGGAAUGUGCCGCAACGGGCGAAAGCCUGGCGGAGUGGCGGCACGUGAGUGAUGGAGGUCUUGGGAGCGUGAUGCUCUGUUACGGGGGAAGAACAACUGUCGACGGAGCUAUGCACGGAGUGACGGUACCGAAUCAGAAAGCAACGGCUAACUACGUG